CCUCAGCCUACCUCAGCUCAGGUGUUAGAGGAUGCAGUUGAGGCACGUCGUGAAAUGAAGGCGGUCUGAACAAUCUUUACAUUAAAGAUAGAGUUCCUUCCUUUUCGUGAAGAAACACCCCAAUAGGCACAGUUCAACGUUCAGCCUUAAGACUACAAGUAGAGAUGUUACUGACAUCCUCUAUAUGAGAGCCUGGGAUGUUCAUAUUUAGAGCUGUAGCUUGAUGAUCAAGGAGCUGCCCUUAUAUGCUAUGUGUGUUAUGGAAUUUCUCACAGACCCUAAAGUGUCUUUUCAUCAGCUGGGUGGUUAUUAUCUGGUGUGAUAUAUCGACGACAAUGAUCCUUAAAAACCAUUAAUCAGUGGGAUUUCCUGUGCUCACCUUCACCUGUCAUUACAUGCUAAGACAUGGCAGUUUUGGCUGAAACAGCAGUUGGAAACAAGUCCUGCAAUGUGAGGUAAGUCCACUCUCUGUAGAAGGCUAAUGUUUAUGGUGCUGUCAGGACUGCUUCUGAAUGAUGGAGGAAAAGAUGACGUACGACACAGAGAAAAAAUAACCACUAAUACAGUAAUUCACUUAAUGUUAGUCUUCUUAUUCCACCCAACUUCCGCUGCACAUCUCUUUCUGAAGUUAGUAAA